GUGCUCGCUUUGGCAGCACAUGUACUAAAAUUGGAACGAUACAGAGAUUAGCAUAACCCCUGCUCAAGGAUGACACGCAAAUUCGUGAAGAGUUCCGUAUUUAA
rnacentral:snRNA from 1 species